CCCUAAUACUCAAUCCAUUUUUUCCUUCCCCAAAAGAAUUCAGUCUUCCCUGAUGUACGCAACAUUUCCCCACGCCUGCUCCAUCCGUUUUCCUCACGGCGUGGGGAAAAACAACGGUCCCCAAAAAGCAUGUCACCAGCAGCAAAUGCGACGACAACGGUUCCAGCAGCAGACGCGUGAACAGUGUACCCAUCUCGUCUCCUUCGAUGUCUUUUCAAACUCGAUCCUUUCUCCUUUUUGUGCUUGUACGAGCCCAACAACAGCUCCAGGCACGCGAGAAUCGUCCUUGGGACGACAAGAUUGCGCCAUGUCACCAUUCCAAGGAUGAUGGAACCAUCUCAACCAUCUAUCCCCUUUCUCCUUUUCUAGAAUAGAGCAACAAGCCUCAGAAAAAGUUGUUUAUCCCAAAUUGGUGCAAGGGACAAGUUUUCAAAUUUUUAAAUAACCCAUGGUUUUGGUCGAUUCUUCCCUCACCUCUUCCUUUCGGAAAACCCUAAUCGUCCUCUAUAUAUCUCUUCCUAUUCACUGUUUGAGGGGAGUUAGGGGGGAUUUUUAUUUUUUAGGCAGAGAAUUUUUUUUUAGUUUAAAAAAAGGGCGAGCAAUUUUUUUCUUUGGAAUUGAACUCCUUCAAGUUGGUUUACAACUAGCAGGAGGACACUGAGACAGACGGAACUUGGGAAAAGGAGUUUGAUUUUUCUAGUUGAAAUUUUUGUUGGGAAAUCCCUUGAUCAGGAACGUCAAGAGCAGCUAAGAAAAUAGUAUAGAAACAUGAUAAGACAUUCGAAACAGAGGUAUGUUCUAGUUUUCUGCCGAGAUAUAACGCAUUCCUUCUAGUUGCGUUGUGUCCUCUCAAACCCCGUUUGAAGUCGAGCUUUGUGGUUGGAAGAUUGUGUUUGUUUGGCUCGCUCUAUCUCCAGCUCGCGGCACUCAAAAAGUCCCUCCCAAAUCUCUGGAGACUCUUUCCCUCACAUUUCGGAAGAAUCAAAGACUUAUACUUCCAUCCAUCGAGUCAAUCCACGUAUUCAACGUACAGGUCCCGAAGCGGAAGAAGUUGAAGAGAUUAGGCCUCAAAGCACCAAAUUCAUUUGAAAGAUUGUAUUUCGAGCAUAAUCCCUUGUCGUCUUUUUUUAUUUUAUUUUAUUUAUUGAUUAUUGUAAGAUUAGUUUAGAAUAGGUACAAACACAAAUUGGUCAAAAAACCCAAAAAAUGUUGGUCUAAAUACCGGUCCAGGAGAACAUAUAACCCGGAUUUUGACUCAACUCUCUUUCUCUCUCUUUUUC